ensembl:lncRNA novel transcript
CCUUCCUUCCCUAUGGAAGCUGCGGAGGAAGCACCUCCUCACUGUGGGCACGCUGGAACCCCAGGGAGAGGCUGCCUGGUCACACCAGAGUGAAGUAACUGACCAAACUCAGCAGGGAAGGGCAACAGGAAGCCCAGAACCAACCUGUGCCUGCCAUUCCCGACUCCCCGCGGCCCUCACACAGCUUCUCCGCCUCUGAGCCCUUGAGGGUCCUCUUGAGCUUCAGGACCACAGAGUUGCUGAGCCUACACUUCUACUGUCUCCAGCUUUUGGAAUCUAGCCAAAGUGGCUGUCUAUUCUCCCAGGGCCCUGGUCCCUCCUGCCCGCUUGUAUUAAGCAACCAACUGUCGAACAUUUUAAUUUGGUGAAUAAAAAUCUCUUGACCCUGGAA